rnacentral:rRNA from 1 species
CGAAUGGAGCAAUCCUAGUAGAGCGGCGCACGGGUGCGUAACACGUGGGUAAUCUGCCUAGAAGCUCGGGAUAACCAGUCGAAAGAUUGGCUAAUACCGGAUAAGCUCACAGGGACUUCGGUCCUCGUGGGAAAAGGUGGCCUCUGUAUACAAGCUAUCACUUCUAGAUGAGCCCGCGGCCCAUCAGCUAGUUGGCGGGGUAAUGGCCCACCAAGGCAACGACGGGUAGCUGGUCUGAGAGGACGAUCAGCCACACUGGAACUGAGACACGGUCCAGACUCCUACGGGAGGCAGCAGUGGGGAAUUUUGCGCAAUGGGCGAAAGCCUGACGCAGCAACGCCGCGUGUGUGAUGAAGGUCUUCGGAUUGUAAAGCACUUUCGACCGGGACGAAAACCCCCCACCCAACACGUGGGGGCUUGACGGUACCGGGAGAAGAAGCACCGGCUAACUCUGUGCCAGCAGCCGCGGUAAUACAGAGGGUGCAAGCGUUGUUCGGAAUUAUUGGGCGUAAAGCGCGUGUAGGCGGCUUUGCAAGUCGGGUGUGAAAGCCCUCAGCUCAACUGAGGAAGUGCGCCCGAAACUGCAGAGCUUGAGUGCCGGAGAGGGUGGCGGAAUUCCCCAAGUAGAGGUGAAAUUCGUAGAUAUGGGGAGGAACACCGGUGGCGAAGGCGGCCACCUGGACGGUAACUGACGCUGAGACGCGAAAGCGUGGGGA